UCUCCGUUGGUGAACCAGCGGAGGGAUCAUUACUGAGUGUUACAACUCCCAAACCCUAUGUGAACACUACCUUUCGUUGCUUCGGCGGGACCGCCCCGGCGCCUCUGCGCGCCGGACCCAGGCGCCCGCCGGGGGCCCGAAACUCUUGUUUUGUCAGUGGUAUUUUAUCUGAGUGGCAUAAGCAAAUAAAUCAAAACUUUCAACAACGGAUCUCUUGGUUCUG
rnacentral:misc_RNA from 1 species